ACACUGGGGAGGCUCGGGGCCCAGCCAGGGCCUCCCCAGCGCCCCAGCCCCGGCACCGCGGGGAGGAAGGAGGCCACCCAGACGAAGGGCCAGCCCCUCCGGGCCCCUAGGUAGCUCCAGGCCAGCCUGGACCACCGCGCGCCGCCCUCCAGCCCCGCCGCGCCCCCGGCUCCUCGGGCCUGCACUCUGCACCCCGGCCCCUCCUCCGGCUAUGGAUGAAUGGAAUGAACACGGGAAGGACGAAGAGCCAGGCGCGGUGGCGCACGCCUGUAAUCCUAGCGCUCUGAAGGUUGAGGCCGCAAGUUCGAGGCCAGCCUGGGCUCCAAAGUGAGUUCAAGGCCAACCUGAACUGCAUAAUGAAACCCUGCCUCAAAAAUAAAAAUGAAAAGGAGAAGAAGGAGGAAGAAAGGAAGAGGAGCUAGCUACACAGGCCUGCUGCAGUGCCCAUGCAGCUCUUAGUUAAGAAGCAGUGUUGACUACAGACACACGAUCUGCCCUCUGACUCUCACGGUCACGGAGCCUGGCAUCGGUUUCCUUACACAGCCUUGCAGAACAGUCCUCCUGCAGGACCACAGCCUGCUGUGUGGCUGAGCCUGCUGUGUGGCUGAGCUGAAAAUGUGCAGCUGGACACAGGGCUGAGCUCGACAGCUGCUUGGACUUCCUCAUGAGCAAAGUCACUCAGGAGACAAAAGAUGACAUGGGUCCUUCAGUGGCAGGUCCCAUGCCAGGUGCUGGGGUCACCAAUACUGGGGUCACCAAUAAAGCUUUCAGAUCUGCAGCACACCACCAGGUUAAAAAAAAUUCCGACUCCAGCAGGAAAGGAUUACACAACAGCUUUGUGAAUGACUGGAACAAUGGAGGAGGAGGAAAUUUGUAAAAUCCAACCAGCAAUGCCAAGUCUCUUGGACUUUUACUUGGUGGAUAAGAACCGACACUGAUCUAGCCCAUCUGCAGGAAUGGCCUGAAUUAAAGUGGAUGCAAUUCAACAAAGGCAAAUCCUGGACCUGCCCUUCAGAAAAGGCACUGACCUGUAACAUCUUAGAGAGAGGAAAGAACCGGCCCCAGAUGUUUCACAAAUGACUCAAAAAACAGGAACAGUGACCUGUCAACGGCUAUGAACCUGACCCUGCUCCUUCCUUGAAGACAAUGACACUGCGGAGUAAUCACCAGACGUUAUUAAAGUCCCGGCACAGCAGGAUAAUUCCCACGAAAGCCUGGACCAGCUGCCACAUGGGGAGCUUGCACAGGAAGUGAAGAGAUGCAGAGAGGAAGGAAGUCGCUGGUGGCUGAAAGGAGCCCAAGGAGAGCCUUUGGGUCCAUACCAUGGAAUGCCAGUGGCAGGACUCCGCGAACUCUGAGCCCCUGCCAGCCACUUGGAAGCUCAUUCCUCUGAGCAGGUGGCUCCAGGCCUGCGCUGCCCAUGCAGUCUAGCGAGAAGUCCUUAUCUUCUUGGUCAGGACAUUGGUUACCAGCUCGGACACUGACUGCACUCUGUGUGCCAUGCAGAAUUCUGAGAUGGACCCUAUUUCCAGCCCUCACACCAUCAACAACUUCUCUUAGUUGGUUCUGACCCACCACUAACUGAGAGGCUACUGUAAAGGGCCUCUCUGGCUACAUCUGAGGUCCCCAGUGGGCUGACUUAAAGCAUACUCUCAGAGCCUGGCCAACUCAGAGAACUCUUAGAGCUGGUUCUUCCUGAAGAUAGAGACUUGAGGUAGAGGAGCAUGUGACAUAGCGGCCUUGAACAGAGAAGGGGCCAUCCAGCAAGAACCCAAGCAUGGCCUGCAGACAUUGAGAGUGGUCUCUAUUAGGCUGUAGCAACAGUGAGGGCCUUAUUUCUGUCCCCACCCUGAGCAAUCUUGUAAAAGAGCAGACAAGGACGCAGAUGACCUCCAGAGAGCAGAGGAGCCAACCAUGCCAAGCCUGAGGUCCUGGCCUGUGGAAUGAUGAGAUACUAAACAGGAAUUCUUUUAAGCUGCUAAAUUUGUGGUCAUUUGUUAUGUGACCACAGAAAAAAUACAACAAUCUCAUGAUCCUUCAAGGUCCAGCUUGAAUCCUUGCAUGAAACCGCAGUGUGAACAGAGAGCAGAGUGGCCCCACUCCUCCUGCUGCCCAACAUUCUACUUCCGUGACACCUUGCACUGACACACUACAGGAAGACAAGAUGUGGCUAGAACCAUCUGGGAAAGGAAGCAUGAUAAAAUCCUGGGACAUAGGUGCAGAGUGAUUCUCAGAGCCCUACACAUGGACUUCUCCUGGGAACUCCAGCAGGUUUUUGAUAGGGUCUCCUGGACAUGGUCAGCGUGAAAAGAUAAAAAAGGAACAGUCACCAUGAUGCACUCACCAUCUGGUCUCCUCACAGUGGCCACCCUCAGCUGGAGGGUGUAUUUUAUGUUUAUUUUCCUACUUUUACUUAGCCCAAAAUCACACUGCAGAGCCUAUUGUUUUCCCUACCCUAUUUUUUCCCCCCACCUUUAAUAAAUGUGAAACUUGCCACUAUU